UACGUAGGGUGCAAGCGUUGUCCGGAAUUAUUGGGCGUAAAGAGCUCGUAGGCGGUUUGUCGCGUCUGCUGUGAAAACUCGGGGCUUAACCCCGGGCCUGCAGUGGGUACGGGCAGACUAGAGUGCGGUAGGGGAGACUGGAAUUCCUGGUGUAGCGGUGAAAUGCGCAGAUAUCAGGAGGAACACCGGUGGCGGAGGCGGCUUCCUGGACCGACACUGACGCUGAGGCGCGAAAGCUAGGGGAGCAAACGGG
rnacentral:rRNA from 1 species